AUGAGCCUUCCUCUACAUUUAACUUCAGACAUUCUACUUCUAUUUUUUUCUUAAUUUCGAGACCUUAGUUCAUGAAUUUAUUAUCUUUUAUUACAGGAAGACAUUCGAGUCAUGAGUUUUUUAUUAUUUUCUUACUCUCUUUACUUAGUUGUAAUUAUUUUCUAUUUCAAAAAGUUGAGCCUUCCAUGAAGAUGAAGACGAAGGCGAAGACGAAAAUAGACGAAGAGGAAGAAGAAGACAAGACGAAAACUUAAAAACCUUAACUGAAAUGUGUGAUAAGUUUUAAGAAUGUAACCACCUUGACCUAAAAUGCCUUAAAAUUAACCAAAAAAUUCCUAUUAACCGAGGAAAACCUCACAUACCAGUCCCUCUCUAUAUGACGAGUAGACCUCUUGCAUUUAUAAUUACAUUACAUACAACGCGAUAGGCUCGCAAGCCAUUCAUUAGUUUAAUUCGUGAAGUUAUAGGGGGCUCUAAGUGUAAUUACGGAGACUGUUUUGAUUUUAUAUCUCGCAGUUUCGACAUUAUUAAUUAAAAUGUGAUCCUUCAAUAAUGAUCCCUGUUCCACCAUCGCGCAUGUAAUUAUGUUUUACGAUGAUUUGAUCGAGGAUUUAUUAUAUUAGAGACGCGUUAACUGUUUAGUUAGGAUAGUUUGAUAGUUUUUAUAUGGGGUGGUGUUUAUCAGCGAUAAACGAGAUAGAGGGUAUUUUCAUAGAUAUUUUAGUUCUUAUUUAUUGUUUCUCUGUUAUGAUCAUAUAUGCCGAAUUUCUAUCA